AACGUAGGAGACAAACGUUAUCCGGAGUUACUGGGCGUAAAGGGCGUGUAGGUGGUUUUGUAAGUCUGGCGUGAAAUUUUUCGGCUUAACCGGGAAAGGUCGUCGGAUACUGCAGAACUAGAGGACGGUAGAGGCGUGUGGAAUUCCGGGUGUAGUGGUGAAAUGCGCAGAUAUCAGGAGGAACACCCGUGGCGAAAGCGGCUCUCUGGGACGGUACUGACGCUGAGACGCGAAAGCGUGGGGAGCAAACAGG
rnacentral:rRNA from 1 species